AUCUCUUCUUUUGCAUGCAAGAAAAAUGAAUGAAUCCUGGAUUCCAUGUCCAUCAAUAUGCUCUCAUUUUUAAGCCUGCAAAAGCUUUUCUAAAUCCCUCUUAAAGCAACAGUAGAGCUUUGUUUUAGGAUCUUCUUCAAAACAAAUGAAUCCAUUAAAUUCUUCAUGUUUACAAACAUCAUGCUAGGUAUCUACAUCAUUCUUAUAAAAUUUAUGAGGUACAAUACGCAUACAUAGAACAGAUAAGAUUUUCUUAUGAAAGUUACGAGGAGCAGGAGGAGGAGGGGUAGAGAGGGGUGGAGGGUGGCGGAUUUUGGGACAGGAUCCUAUAGAAUCUCCCUCUGCCACAUUAAUCAUCUUUCGUUCCAUUUAGCUCAGUCCUGGUUUCACAGUUCAAGCCGGGACAAGCCCAGGCCAAGUUAGGAGCUACCAUUAUAUACAGGGUUCAAAAAGUAAUAGAAAUUUUGCUUGCAAAAAUAUGUAGGAGCUUCAAGGGACCCAAAUUUCACUAGAUAUCUGCUAAAAAAAGUUAUUAAGCGUAUUUCACAAGCAAGAUGUAACAAACCUGUUGAACUGAGCUAUCUUCGAUAUGGCAAGGAGAAUCUUCCUCUCUUGUUGACAAAAUGCGGUUUCUUGAUUCUAAUUGAUGCUCUGGCAGAUCCUCUUCCCAUCCUUCAU
rnacentral:misc_RNA from 1 species